AAGCGAGAAUUGGUGUUACCUCCCCUGAUAUCUAAAAUUAGUAUACUGAACACAACACAUCGAAAUGCGUGGUACUCAAACUUAGAUCAUCAUCACGUUCAGCAUGUAGGACGACCUAUUUCAUAAAGAGAACAGAAAAAAAAAUCAGAAAAUACUUCAAUCUCUGCAGCCUUCCGAAUGUCCAAGUAGGUCAAUUGAUUGGUUGCUAUUUUUAGAAAUAACUCAGCAAGGACAUACCCGACUAAUGGCCAGAGUGAAUACAGGUCAUUAAGGAGGAAAGAGUUCCUAAAGGUUUAUAACGGUAAAAGUAAUGAUCAGCGAUAAGAGACACAUGCAUGCCGUACCUCCAACAUAUAUAUUAUUAAUGUUAUCCUUCAUAAAAUGCUCGCAUUAUUCUGAAAUGUACCCGCGGGACGUUCCAAGUGAGUGACUUUACAUCGUGUGUAUUUUCAGACGCCAUGUUGGAGAGCGAUUACAUCUUAUACCAUGGACGUGUAUGAUUAACUAUGUUCACAAACUCUGUGCUGCAUUUAUGGAAGGUGCAAGCCAGUCACGCACAAAAGACGCGGUAUUAGUUGAUUGUUAGAAAUGUCAGAGGACGUAUCACCACGCUUACCCGUGUUUAACGGUUCACAGAGGGUGAUCAUUCCCGAACUGUGGAUGAGAAAAUUUGAAGACUUUUGCCAUUUGAUGCAGUGGAGCGACGAUGAAGCCGUUCGACAAUUUCGACAACAUCUAUCAGGGAGCGCCGAGUGUUGGUAUCAUUCUUUACAAGAGGAAGACACAGAAAGUUUUAACACUCUUAAAAGGCUAUUCAUGGAGAAUUUUUAUCGGAUUAACAUAGACCCAGUUGGCUUAAAAGGAGAUCUGGAAUCCAGAAAGCAGGCACCAGAUGAAACCGUAGAGGAUUAUCUUCACCAGAAGUUGAUAUAUGUGCUUCAGUCUGACAUGAUCCAAUCGCCAGAAGCAAUAGAUCUUGUUUAUAACGGGUUUCUUCCUGCGAUCCGGGAUCUAAUCAAUAUUCAACACAUACGUUCCUUGGAGGCAUUGCAACGGUCAGCAAGGAAGCAGUACGUCCGUAUAUCAAGACGCACCGGUUGUUCACUGAGACGUCCCGAAAGGAACGCUCUUGAAUUUGGCAGCAUCAUUGGCGUGGCAGAUGGAACCGUCGGUACAGCGAACACAGCAGCGACUGUCAACGGAGGGAUGGGCAACACCAACGUGCAUCUCAAUAUGUACCAGGCGACAACGGAGGACAGGGGCGAGAUUGUUAUUUCCUGUCUGCGGGCUCUAAACCGUGGCGAAGAUAUAGCAAAUUUAAUGAAUGAAUUCGGGGAGGCCAGGAACACCAACAGCAUGCGGCCGGAGCCCGCGAGGACUCCCCAAACCCACUUACUAUACACAAGUCACCAUCCAUCACUGGUCAUGGAAGAGCCUGUCACGGGUGAGAGCCACAACCUUUCCAGACACACGGAUGACAGUUCGGGAACAGAGAUGAGCAUGGACCCUGCUCAAUGUACUGUUAAGCACCGGAUCAGUGACAAUAGCUUCGUUGCUCACCCUGAAGACGAUACAAGUGCAAGUCUCGCCGGAUCUCACGAGAUAUUGUCUCAGAGUAUAACAGACCUUGCUCCGUAUAAGGACACCACAGGUCGGAAAGUCAGCAAGUGUCACGUGACGCACCCUGAGGAGGAUACGAGUGCAGAGGUCAGCCUGGAAAUAUAUUCAGAGAAGAUGAAGGCGACCUCCAUCCACAGUGCGCGGUACACCAGGAUCAGUGGCAACUGGCUUCGAACUCAUCCAGUGGAAGAUCAAGUCUCCCUCUAUACCAUUCCGCUGUCUCAGUCUGUGAAGGAUGUCACAGACCUUUCCCAAAGUGUGGUGGACACGACUAGCAUGGGUCACCACAGUCUCGCCGCCCAUCCAGAGAUAAACAACAAAAUCCACAGCCUCAUCAGAACUCCCCACGUUUGCACCGAGGACACGAGCGACUUACCUCCCCCAUCUGUGACGUUCUUUAGUAUGAGGAACAAGUGUUUCGUCGGUCACUCCGAGGGGGAAACAGUCGCCAGUUUCGACAGGACAGAGGACAUUUUAGCUGAAGACACAACCUUUCGUAAGACGGUAGAUAGCACCAGCAGUAUCAGCAGCCAAGAUGAUGAUCACCAUGGCGCUAGUCUGACGUACAGGAAAACCUUCGACACAGUCAAUAUGCAAGAGGGGGUCAACCGUCCAGAUCCACUGUAUGAGCCAGUCACGUUCAUGGACACAGACUUCCACAGCAUCAACGGUACAGAUCCAGGGAGCGUCCCCGAGGAUGCUUCAUAUUGUUUUGUCGGUUUACUCGAUACCCCAAUGUCAGGACAUAUACGCCCCGAAGAAAAGAAAGAUGGCUUCUUUAUAUGUGGAUGCGACCAGCGUUAAUGGACCAUUGUCCGGUACAGACCUCACCAUGUGUCUGGACAGUGCGGCUGACCCAACGCCAUGUGUGAUAACUACGACGAUGCAAGCACACGCCACACAGUCCAACGAAUAUCGAGGAUCAGGACCCAAUAGUCAAGACGGCAUUUAUCGACUGAAAUUUGACAUAAACCUCACGUAUG
rnacentral:misc_RNA from 1 species